rnacentral:rRNA from 1 species
UGGGGAAUAUUGGACAAUGGGGGAAACCCUGAUCCAGCAAUGCCGCGUGAGUGAAGAAGGCCUUAGGGUUGUAAAGCUCUUUCGCCCGCGAAGAUAAUGACGGUAGCGGGAGAAGAAGCCCCGGCUAACUCCGUGCCAGCAGCCGCGGUAAUACGGAGGGUGCAAGCGUUAUCCGGAUUCACUGGGUUUAAAGGGUGCGUAGGUGGGCAGAUAAGUCAGUGGUGAAAUCUUCCGGCUUAACCGGGAAACUGCCGUUGAUACUAUUUGGCUUGAAUAUUGCGGAGGUAAGCGGAAUAUGUCAUGUAGCGGUGAAAUGCUUAGAUAUGACAUAGAACACCAGUUGCGAAGGCAGCUUACUACACAAUCAUUGACACUGAGGCACGAAAGCGUGGGUAGCGAACA